UAAUUGCCCAACAUCCAUACCCGACCUCACUAAUGCUCUUGUGGCUGAAUGGAAGCAAAUCCCCGCAGCAAUGUUCCAACAUCUAGUGGAAUGCCCAGAAUAUUGGAGGGGGACCAAAGGGGGGACCCAUUCCAUAGUAAUGCCCAAGAUUUUGGAAUGAAAUGUUCGACGAGCAAGUGUCCACAUACUUUUGGUAAUGUAGUUUAUGGGAUAGGAUGGAUUUGUUGCAUCCCAAAUGGCACCCUAUUUACUAGUAGCCUACACUACUUUAGUAGCCUACACUACCAGAGCCCUAUAGGUCUUGCCUGGCAUUUGGGGCAUUCAUUCAACGUGUUAUUGUGUUGUGACUCUGUUCCAGGGUCAUUUUUGAUUAGUGGCGGCAGUGGGCCAGACACAGCUUCUCAUUGGUGCCUCUGUUCGUGGAAGGGAUGCUGGUGGAGGCCGGGACAGAGAUCCAGAUCAUGACAUGACUAGGGACCAUGGAGGGAUGACAUGAGUAGUGAUGAAAGGGUAGGGGUGAAAGGACCUGAGCCCUAGGACCAUGCCCCAGGACUACCUGACAUGAUGACUCCUUGCUGUCCCCAGUCCACCUGACCGUGCUGCUGUUCCAGUUUCAACUGUUCUGCCUUAUUAUUAUUCGACCAUGCUGGUCAUUUAUGAACAUUUGAACAUCUUGGCCAUGUUCUGUUAUAAUCUCCAUCCGGCACAGCCAGAAGAAGACUGGCCACCCCACAUAGCCUGGUUCCUCUCUAGAUUUCUUCCUAGGUUUUGGCCUUUCUAGGGAGUUUUUCCUAGCCACCGUGCUUCUACACCUGCAUUGCUUGCUGUUUGGGGUUUUAGGCAGGGUUUCUGUACAGCACUUUGAGAUAUCAGCUGAGGUACGAAGGGCUAUAUAGAUAAAUUUGAUUUGAUACUGUAAUCCCAUGUGUUUCACAAGGGGGAGCCGUGUGUGAUGGUCCAGAAAUGCAGUUCAGGAAACUAUUGCAUGCAGGGAAAAGAUUAUGCCAAAGUCCUCUCUGCUACGUCGUGUAUCUGUCGGGCACACGACUUUGAAUGGCACUUAUAGUAUACUAGUAUAAUAACUCACCAUUGCAGCAUAAUAUGACACGUCAGAGCACAUCUUUUAUCACAAAGUAUUUAUUUUUCAAAUCUAAACAUGAGUAGAUAAACAGAAGUUCACAUUCCAUAAUGUCCAUACGUGUUGUAUGAUGCUUUGUGUAUGUUGUCCCAUUUAAGCCAAUUUUGCAUUUAAUGCACUUUCAGGAUCCCAUUCAUUUAGUUCAUUUUCGUUGUCAGUGCUCCAAUUAUCAGAUAUGGUUGGGGACCAUUUAACGCAAUUUGCUCCUAACGUCUGUCUCUCAGCUGAGCUCGUUUUUCUAUGUUUAAAAUAAGGUAGAGAAGAUGAGAGCUGUUAAUAGGACUGUAGAUUGUUGUUGUUUUUAUCUUCUAAAGGCAGGGAAGAGAAAAGCAGUGAUACAUUUGUAUUUAAAUGGCAGUGGUGUCAGGUCAGACUGAGUUUUAAUUAGAAUCCAUUAGUCUCCUGUGAUAUCUCUCUCUCUCUCUCUCUGGUGAUAGAGACAUUGAAAUAAAAAAAUACGAAAACUAUCUCUUUGAGAAACGUUCAGAGUGAAUAACAAUACAACUUUUAAUUGACUUUGAAGUGUACACAAGUCAAGGGCUGAAAUGUUUACUUAUUGUGUAACAGGGUGACAAUGCAGUGGCCUGUUCUGUGAAGAAAAGGUCCAUGGGUUGAUUCCAAAGUGGGACAUUGACUAGACAGAAAUCAGAGGUUAUAUACUGAACAAAAAUAUAAAUGCAACAUGCAACAAUUUCAAAGAUUUUACUGAGUUACAGUGCAUAUGAGGAAAUCAUUCAAUUGAAAAAAAAAAUGAUUAGACCCUAAUCUAUGGAUUUCACAUGACUGGGAAUACAGAUAUGCAUCUGUUGGUCACAGAUACCUUAAAAUGUAAUGGCCCUCACAAUGGGCUUCAGGAUCUUGUCAUGCUAUUUCUGUGUAUUCAAAUUGCCAUCAAUAAAAUGGACUUGUGUUUGUU